rnacentral:misc_RNA from 1 species
GAUUUGGCCAUAUCAUUGACAUAAAACGAAAUUAUAAGGUACUCAUUUGGGAACUUAAAACCCCAUCAAUUCAUUGCCGCUAACAAAACAGAGUUGUGUAGUAAAAAAGUAAAUGAAAAUAGAACACUGAAACAAAGCUAAACACAGUGAUAUAUGUCUGAAAGCAAUCCACUAUAAAUAUGCUUAGCAUAAAUAAAAAAGAAUCCCAUUGCACCAUAUGAAGAGAUCCUCUACCGAAACUAGCCUCAAUCAGCGGUACUUAAUGAAACCAAU